UUAGAAAUAAUUUAAUAGUUACAUUUAUAAACAAUGUAGAUUAAAAAUUGUAAGUUUGAUCAUUACAGUUCUGUCAACAGUUUAAUAUGAUGUCAAGAAAGACUGACUUCAUUUCAUGUUUUACAAAAACUUCUUUUCAGGAAAUAGUUUUUGAGUUCAAUUUAAAAUGUCAGGACAUACAUUGUUUACGUUACUGUUAGAAAUGCACUUCCAGUAAAGUCAGUAUUGG